rnacentral:rRNA from 1 species
ACGGGAGGCAGCAGUGGGGAAUAUUGGGCAAUGGGCGCAAGCCUGACCCAGCGACGCCGCGUGAGGGAAGAAGGUCUUCGGAUUGUAAACCUCUUUCAGCAGGGAAGACCAAGAGACGGUACCUGCAGAAGAAGUCACGGCUAACUACGUGCCAGCAGCCGCGGUAAUACGUAGGUGGCGAGCGUUAUCCGGAAUUACUGGGUGUAAAGGGUGUGUAGGCGGAGAGGCAAGUCAGGCGUGAAAUACGUGGGCUCAACCCACGAACUGCGCUUGAAACUGUUUCCCUUGAGAGUGGGAGAGGUAAACGGAAUUCCUGGUGUAGUAGUGAAGUGCGUAGAUAUCAGGAGGAACACCGGUGGCGAAGGCGGCUUACUGGACUGAAACUGACACUGAGGCUCGAAAGCGUGGGGAGCAAACAGGAUUAGAUACCCUGGUA